CUACGGGAGGCAGCAGUGAGGAAUAUUGGGCAAUGGGGGCAAGUCUGAACCAGCCAUGCCGCGUGCAGGAAGAAGGCCCUAUGGGUUGUAAACUGCUUUUUCGGGAAGAAACCCCCCGAUUUCCCGGGUUGACGGUACCGUAAGAAUAAGCAUCGGCUAACUCCGUGCCAGCAGCCGCGGUA
rnacentral:rRNA from 1 species